GAAGGAUUGCUGUGGACAGAGAGGGCUCCACUAAUGGAAGGCAUUAUUAUUGCUGUUUCCAUACCACACGACACUCACCCAAGAAUGGAAGUUCAUGUUCUGACUGUCAAUGACGUGUCCAGCAUUCCUCCUGUGCUCAUUUCAUAACUAUUCGUUGAGCCUCCUUGGUGCCAGGCACUGUUCUAGACUCUUGGGCCAUAAAAAUCAAUAAAACACAAGAUCCCUGCCUCCUUACGGCUGACCUUCUAGGGGAGAGACUUUCACAUACCCCAAUCUACUUAGCACACAUUCCAACCUCUCUCUGGCAUCUGCAAACUCAAGUCUGCAAGGUGAAGCAACAUCCUAAGCUGCUAGGAACUCUCUCCAUAAGUACUCAUCCAGAUGGCCUGGUGAUACGGACAGGAGACAGGGAAAUACUGGGUAGAAGAGGGUGGCUCCUGGCAAAGGCCCCACCCUCAAGCCUGAAGACCCACGGCCCUAAAUGAGGACAGGCAUUCCUGUUUUUGAGCGGAAAAAGUUGCCUUUUGGCCUGCCACACCCCCUAUCCUGCACCCAUAUAAACCCUGAACCCCAGGCUUCAGAAACAGACGAGCAAGCCAGCAGACCAGCAGACGGACAGUGGAACGAUGCAGUAGAGAAAGAGAGAGGAGGAGGAACAUCUGAACAUGGAGAGGAGUUUGACUGGGGACGGUCAGAGAGGAGUCCGGCUGCUG
rnacentral:lncRNA from 1 species